UUUCCGGUUGAUCCUGCCGGAGGCCAUUGCUAUUGGAGUCCGAUUUAGCCAUGCUAGUCGUACGAGUUCAGACUCGUGGCGAAUAGCUCAGUAACACGUGGCCAAACUACCCUUCGGACCGCAAUACCCUCGGGAAACUGAGGCUAAUAGCGGACACCACACGCAGACUGGAAUGUCGCGUGUGUCAAACGCUCCGGCGCCGAAGGAUGUGGCUGCGGCCGAUUAGGUAGACGGUGGGGUAACGGCCCACCGUGCCAAUAAUCGGUACGGGUCAUGAGAGUGAGAACCCGGAGACGGAAUCUGAGACAAGAUUCCGGGCCCUACGGGGCGCAGCAGGCGCGAAACCUUUACACUGCACGCCAGUGCGAUAAGGGGAUCCCAAGUGCGUAGGCAUAGAGCCUACGCUUUUGUCCACCCUAGGGUGGUGGACGAAUAAGGGCUGGGCAAGACCGGUGCCAGCCGCCGCGGUAAUACCGGCAGCCCAAGUGAUGGCCGAUCUUAUUGGGCCUAAAGCGUCCGUAGCUGGCCGCACAAGUCCAUCGGGAAAUCCACCUGCUCAACAGGUGGGCGUCCGGUGGAAACUGUGUGGCUUGGGACCGGAAGGCGCGACGGGUACGUCCGGGGUAGGAGUGAAAUCCUGUAAUCCUGGACGGACCGCCGAUGGCGAAAGCACGUCGCGAAAACGGAUCCGACAGUGAGGGACGAAAGCUAGGGUCUCGAACCGGAUUAGAUACCCGGGUAGUCCUAGCCGUAAACACUGCCUGCUAGGUGUGGCACCCACUACGAGUGGGUGCUGUGCCGUAGGGAAGCCGCUAAGCAGGCCGCCUGGGAAGUACGUCCGCAAGGAUGAAACUUAAAGGAAUUGGCGGGGGAGCACUACAACCGGAGGAGCCUGCGGUUUAAUUGGAGUCAACGCCGGGA
rnacentral:rRNA from 1 species